rnacentral:misc_RNA from 1 species
UGGCUGGAUUCUUGAGAGUGCACCAAUGAAGAUCCUUGAGAGCCAUGAGCUCACGGGAAUGACUCUGGAAUACCGCAGGGAGUGUGGGAAGGAGAGUGUGCUCGAGUCACUGACUUCGGUCUCUGCAGACUGCACCAAUGGCUCGCCCGAAACCGACAUUGAGUGUGAGCAUCUACUGAGGCUGGACUCGGGGGCUGAAAUCAUGAGGGGACGGACUCACUGGAGGCCCAAGGGUUCCCAGGCUCUCUCGGUCUCGGUUGCAAGCAUCUGAGCUCUUCAUGAAAUGGUCAUUACUGUUAUUGGCAGAUAUGGUG